rnacentral:hammerhead_ribozyme from 1 species
ACCCAGCUGAUGAGUCCCAAUCAGGGCGAAUCGCGCGUCCUGGAU